rnacentral:rRNA from 1 species
UGGGGAAUAUUGCACAAUGGGCGCAAGCCUGAUGCAGCAACGCCGCGUGAGGGAUGACGGCCUUCGGGUUGUAAACCUCUUUUAGUAGGGAAGAAGCGAAAGUGACGGUACCUGCAGAAAAAGCACCGGCUAACUACGUGCCAGCAGCCGCGGUAAUACGUAGGGUGCGAGCGUUGUCCGGAAUUAUUGGGCGUAAAGAGCUCGUAGGCGGUCUGUCGCGUCUGCUGUGAAAACCCGAGGCUCAACCUCGGGCCUGCAGUGGGUACGGGCAGACUAGAGUGCGGUAGGGGAGAAUGGAAUUCCUGGUGUAGCGGUGGAAUGCGCAGAUAUCAGGAGGAACACCGAUGGCGAAGGCGAGUUCGUCUGGGCCGUAACUGACGCUGAGGAGCGAAAGCGUGGGGAGCGAACAGGAUUAGAUACCCUGGUAGUCCACGCCGUAAACGUUGGGCGCUAGAUGUGGGGACCAUUCCACGGUUUCCGUGUC